GUUGAGCUUGACCCACGGGAGGCCUCUGGUGGAGCCUCUUGUGCUGCUUGGAGGGUCGAAGCGGCUUCUGGGAGGUCCUGCAGCCACUUUUUAAACAAUCAUGAAACUAACCCAUUAAUGUGAAUCUUACAAACAAAGAGGGUGCCAAGAAGAGCACUCUGGAGAACAGAGAUUGAGAAGCAGCAUUAAAAUCCAAAAUGAACCAUCAGUCAAAAUCUUUUUUCAAUUCCACUUGAAAGUGUAAAAAGUCUUCUUCCUCAGAAAAUGAGAGAUAAGGAGAGAAUAACAAGAACAAAGUUUUGAAUUGGGAAAAAUAGACUAUAUGGAACUCAAGAAGACAUCACAUGAGCAGUCUAAGAGGAAAAUGUCCAAAUAAA